rnacentral:rRNA from 1 species
UAGGGAAUCUUCGGCAAUGGGGGGAACCCUGACCGAGCAACGCCGCGUGAGUGAAGAAGGUUUUCGGAUCGUAAAGCUCUGUUGUUAAGGAAGAACGAGUGUGAGAAUGGAAAGUUCAUACUGUGACGGUACUUAACCAGAAAGGGACGGCUAACUACGUGCCAGCAGCCGCGGUAAUACGUAGGUCCCGAGCGUUGUCCGGAUUUAUUGGGCGUAAAGCGAGCGCAGGCGGUUAGAUAAGUCUGAAGUUAAAGGCAGUGGCUCAACCAUUGUAGGCUUUGGAAACUGUUUAACUUGAGUGCAGAAGGGGGGGGUGGAAUUCCAUGUGUAGCGGUGAAAUGCGUAGAUAUAUGGAGGAACACCGGUGGCGAAAGCGGCUCUCUGGUCUGUAACUGACGCUGAGGCUCGAAAGCGUGGGGAGCGAACAGG